GAGUUUGAUCUUGGCUCAGAGCGAACGCUGGCGGCAGGCCUAACACAUGCAAGUCGAGCGCCCCGCAAGGGGAGCGGCAGACGGGAGAGUAACACGUGGGAACGUACCCUUCAGUUCGGAACAACCCAGGGAAACUUGGGCUAAUACCGAAUACGUCCGUAAGGAGAAAGAUUUAUCGCUGAAGGAUCGGCCCGCGUCUGAUUAGCUAGUUGGUGAGGUAAUGGCUCACCAAGGCGACGAUCAGUAGCUGGUCUGAGAGGAUGAUCAGCCCCACUGGGACUGAGACACGGCCCAGACUCCUACGGGAGGCAGCAGUGGGGAAUAUUGGACAAUGGGCGCAAGCCUGAUCCAGCCAUGCCGCGUGGGUGAUGAAGGCCCUAGGGUUGUAAAGCCCUUUCGGCGGGAAGAUAAUGACGGUACCCGCAGAAGAAGCCCCGGCUAACUUCGUGCCAGCCGCCGCAGUAAC
rnacentral:rRNA from 1 species